rnacentral:rRNA from 1 species
UACGUAGGGGGCGAGCGUUGUCCGGAUUUACUGGGCGUAAAGAGCGCGCAGGCGGUCGUUCAAGUCGCGUGUGAAAGCCCCCGGCUCAACUGGGGAGGGUCAUUCGAUACUGAUCGACUCGAAGGCAGGAGAGGGUAGUGGAAUUCCCGGUGUAGUGGUGAAAUGCGUAGAUAUCGGGAGGAACACCAGUGGCGAAGGCGACUACCUGGCCUGUUCUUGACGCUGAGGCGCGAAAGCUAGGGGAGCAAACGGG